UGAAGGGCUAGCCUAGUGCAUACCAGAACUAGGGAUGUGACAGGCUCGACCUCUCGUGCCCUCGCCGCCAUCAACCUCUCCUGCACUCACACGCCAGCCGCCGAUCUCCCGCGCCCUCACACGCCAACAGCCGAAGUGGCUCUCCCCCGGAGGGGGCUCGUCCUUCCGUGGUGCUCAGCCACCAUCCGGUCUGGAGGGGGAAUAGGAGACCCCCAACAAAAACGAGCGUGCUAGUGGUGGACCCAAGGAUGCGCGGUGAUUGUGCCAGGUCCAUGCUGCAGUUCUUCUGUUGGGUGAGCUUCUUCACCCUUCUUGUCAAGGAGAUGUUCAUGUCUAGCUAGGUUCCUACAAAUGGUAUUCCUUUUGUUUCUUUCAGUCGACCAGAUGCUCAGAUCUAGCUAGGCUUCCAUGUAGAAAUUUUGUUGUCUUUUUAAGUUUGUUGGGUACCUCAGGUAAGUUUCUGCAAAGUGGAUUUUUGUUUGUUACUGCUCAAGAGAUGCUCUCAGAUCUAGCUAUAUUCCUGAAAUUUUUUUGUUGGCUUUCUUAGUUUGUUUGGUACCUUGAUCUUUCCUCGUCGAGAAGGGGAUAUAUUUGUCCUGGAGCUCCAUUUCUCUUUAUAGAGGAGUCUUUUGUUCCUUUGCUUGAUUUGGCGCCUGGCGUGGGCAUCUGUUUCAAGAGGGGACGACAUACAAUCAAUGCAAGUGUGCUUAGUUGUUGUAUGUAUGGCAGCUGCAGCAUCUUGCCAAUUAGUCCCCACUAAAAUUAAUUUUCCUCUCCAUCUUUUUGUCUCGUGGAUAUUGAUGCGAGUACUGUAGGUAAAUAAAUGUUCUAUGGGAAAACAUGCUGAUUCAGAACCAUAGCAAAUGGAACUGUGCUUUGUAAGUAACUGGUACAGACGCUAUUUAGAACCAUAGCAAAACAACUAUACAAUUAAAAUAUCCAUGACUAAUUUCCAAAGUACAGCAGCGCGGAAGCAACAACAGUCAUGUUCUCAAGGUUUGAUUUUGUAUAUAGAGCUAACGAUCUUUUGUCCUUGGACCCAUCAAGAUGGCCAUCCCCUACUCCGUCAGAGUCCCUUGCUAAAAAAAUCAGAAGUUUUCAGAUUUAGUUGUCAAAUGCUUAAUUAAGUUGACAAAGGUAUGUUGUCAUUUUUAUUUGACCAUUCUGAAUCUGUACAGAUAUCACUUCUGAAUGCAUAUGUCAUCUUUCAGGUUCUUCAGAGUACAAUAUAUGAGGUUGACCUUGAUUGCAUUCUUCAAAGUGUUCAUAUUUAUUUACAAGAACUUGGAAUGGAAGAGAUACCGAGGAGGGCUGGAGAUGAUAAAAAGCCAUUAAGAAUGGUCAAAACUGUGUUGCAUGAACUUGUAAAGCUAUGAGGCACAACAAUAAAAGGUCACCUUUCAAUGGUUCCUAUAGACUCUGAGCAUACAUUGAUCUUAAUCUUCAGACCCUUGCAGCGGCUAGGAUGUUAACCCCAUCUGGACCUAUGGGUCAAACUCACUUGGGUGAUGCUGCAUCGAACACUCCAAAUCCAUCAAUUCAUUCAACGGAUGCACAAUUGAAGGUUACUCCAAUUCCUUUCUCCUUCUAUCAAUGUCGUGCUUGUGGGUAAUUUUUUUUACUUGGAGUUCAUGGUACUGUAUGCAUUUAGAUUAUUUGCGUUUUGCCAAUCAAAAGUUCUGACUUAAACUGUACUACCAUUGCUAUCAUGGCAUUGUGCAUGGAUGAGCGCAAUGCACACGCUCGUUCUUUUGUUCUUAAAUACCACCAUAUUCCCCCAUCGUAGUUUCCUAAGAUGAUACUAUUAAAUAAUUUAUGCAUGAGUAUGUAUAAGAUAUUUUGUUACUCGGAUUAUAACUCUUGCCUGUGUUUGUUGAUCCAAACAAAGAUGUUUAUUCAAGGUUGGUUUGUUGAUAUUAUACAUUGAUUUGAUCCACUUUCCACAUUUCCAUUGUUAAACCCUAAACAGGCAUCCAUGUCCUUGGUCCCACUUCUUUACAUUUAUAAGCACUGUAAUCCUUUUUCAGUGGUGACUGUAAAUGAUUAUUUGGCACAGCGAGCUGCUGAAUGGAUGGGUCGCGUUCAUUGUUUUCUUGGCCUAACUGUCGGUCUAAUUGAGGUGUACUUCUACAUAAUGGUGUUGUCAUACUUUCUAGACCCCUUAUCAUUCUGGCUUGGAACCAGUCCGUUUCUGCGCUGUUACAGUAUUUUUAUAUAAAUGUAUGAUCGGAGGCAAACAUUCAACCUUCUUUCACUCUUUCAUCUGUGGCAUAUGCAUAGGCGGGUAUGAAGUCUGAUGAGAGGAGAGCCAACUAUAUGUGUGACAUUACAUACACUAAUAACUUGUUAAGAUGCUCAGUAGAACAACAACUUUAAGAUAGUUCUAUAGUGGCUAUUCAUCUGAGGACCUUUCUUCUUCUUGAAACUUGGUAUUAUAUGUUAAAGUUGUCUUCAUUUCAGAUUAGAAGUAAUAAUAAAAUAAGUUGUCUUUGAAUCUGCCUGUGAGCUGCGGCCAUACUUGUUAAUGAACCCUUUACCUGCUUAUCUUGGUUAUGUAGUACUUUAUAGUCAUAUCCCAUAUCAGUAUCCUUGUCUAAUUUAAGAUUGCUUUUCUUACUAUGAAGAAGAUUUGUGCUGCUGUAGUGUUCUUCAGUUUCUGGUGUUUAGAUGCCAGUUCAUUGUUGAGACAGUUAUGCUUUGUCCUUCUUCUGGAAAAUGCAGUAAGUAAAUUUUGUUUUCUGGACAUUUUCGCAGAUCCUAUU